rnacentral:rRNA from 1 species
UAGGGAAUCUUCGGCAAUGGGGGGAACCCUGACCGAGCAACGCCGCGUGAGUGAAGAAGGUUUUCGGAUCGUAAAGCUCUGUUGUUAAGGAAGAACGAGUGUGAGAAUGGAAAGUUCAUGCUGUGACGGUACUUAACCAGAAAGGGACGGCUAACUACGUGCCAGCAGCCGCGGUAAUACGUAGGUGGCAAGCGUUGUCCGGAUUUAUUGGGCGUAAAGCGAGCGCAGGCGGUCAAUUAAGUCUGAUGUGAAAGCCCCCGGCUCAACCGGGGAGGGUCAAUGGAAACUGGUUGACUUGAGUGCAGAAGAGGAGAGUGGAAUUCCAUGUGUAGCGGUGAAAUGCGUAGAUAUAUGGAGGAACACCAGUGGCGAAGGCGACUCUCUGGUCUGUAACUGACGCUGAGGCUCGAAAGCGUGGGUAGCAAACAGG